GACGAACGCUGGCGGCGUGCCUAACACAUGCAAGUCGAACGAAGUGGCGAACGGGUGAGUAACGCGUAAUCAACCUGCCCUUCAGAGGGGGACAACAGUUGGAAACGACUGCUAAUACCGCAUACUGAAGGAGGGGAUUGCGUCUGAUUGGCUAGUUGGAGGGGUAACGGCCCACCAAGGCGAAGGUCAGUAGGCGGUCUGAGAAGGUGAACGGCCACAUUGGGACUGAGACACGGCCCAGACUCCUACGGGAGGCAGCAAUGGGGAAUCUUCCGAAAUGGGGGGAAGUCUGACGGAGCAACGCCGCGUGAGUGAUGACGGCCUUCGGGUUGUAAAGCUCUGUUAAUCGGGACGCGGUACCGGAAUAGAAAGCCACGGCUAACUACGUGCCAGCAGCCGCGGUAAUUC
rnacentral:rRNA from 1 species